rnacentral:rRNA from 1 species
CGAGGACGAACGCUGGCGGUGUGCUUAACACAUGCAAGUCGAACGGAUCACAUGAUUUCGGUUGUGUGGUGAGUGGCGAACGGGUGAGUAACACGUGAGUAACCUGCCCCCCUUCUCUGGGAUAACUGUUGGAAACGGCGGCUAAUACCGGAUAUUCACUUUCUCUCGCAUGGGGGUUGGUGGAAAGUUUUUUCGGUGGGGGAUGGGCUCGCGGCCUAUCAGCUUGUUGGUGGGGUAGUGGCCUACCAAGGCUUUGACGGGUAGCCGGCCUGGGAGGGCGACCGGCCACACUGGGACUGAGAUACGGCCCAGACUCCUACGGGAGGCAGCAGUGGGGAAUAUUGCACAAUGGACGAAAGUCUGAUGCAGCAACGCCGCGUGCGGGAUGAAGGCCUUCGGGUUGUAAACCGCUUUCACCAGGGACGAAUGUGACGGUACCUGGAGAAGAAGCACCGGCUAACUACGUG